AGAGUUUGAUCCUGGCUCAGAUUGAACGCUAGCGGGAUGCUUUACACAUGCAAGUCGAACGGCAGCACGAGAGAGCUUGCUCUCUUGGUGGCGAGUGGCGGACGGGUGAGUAAUAUAUCGGAACGUGCCCAGUAGCGGGGGAUAACUACUCGAAAGAGUGGCUAAUACCGCAUACGCCCUACGGGGGAAAGGGGGGGAUCGCAAGACCUCUCACUAUUGGAGCGGCCGAUAUCGGAUUAGCUAGUUGGUGGGGUAAAGGCUCACCAAGGCAACGAUCCGUAGCUGGUUUGAGAGGACGACCAGCCACACUGGGACUGAGACACGGCCCAGACUCCUACGGGAGGCAGCAGUGGGGAAUUUUGGACAAUGGGGGAAACCCUGAUCCAGCCAUCCCGCGUGUAUGAUGAAGGCCUUCGGGUUGUAAAGUACUUUUGGCAGAGAAGAAAAGGCAUCCCCUAAUACGGGAUGCUGCUGACGGUAUCUGCAGAAUAAGCACCGGCUAACUACGUGCCAGCAGCCGCGGUAAUACGUAGGGUGCAAGCGUUAAUCGGAAUUACUGGGCGUAAAGCGUGUGUAGGCGGUUCGGAAAGAAAGAUGUGAAAUCCCAGGGCUCAACCUUGGAACUGCAUUUUUAACUGCCGAGCUAGAGUAUGUCAGAGGGGGGUAGAAUUCCACGUGUAGCAGUGAAAUGCGUAGAUAUGUGGAGGAAUACCGAUGGCGAAGGCAGCCCCCUGGGAUAAUACUGACGCUCAGACACGAAAGCGUGGGGGAGCAAACAGGAUUAGAUACCCUGGUAGUCCACGCCCUAAACGAUGUCAACUAGCUGUUGGGGCCGUUAGGCCUUAGUAGCGCAGCUAACGCGUGAAGUUGACCGCCUGGGGGGUACGGUCGCAAGAUUAAAACUCAAAGGAAUUGACGGGGACCCGCACAAGCGGUGGAUGAUGUGGAUUAAUUCGAUGCAACGCGAAAAACCUUACCUACCCUUGACAUGUCUGGAAUGCCGAAGAGAUUUGGCAGUGCUCGCAAGAGAACCGGAACACAGGUGCUGCAUGGCUGUCGUCAGCUCGUGUCGUGAGAUGUUGGGUUAAGUCCCGCAACGAGCGCAACCCUUGUCAUUAGUUGCUACGCAAGAGCACUCUAAUGAGACUGCCGGUGACAAACCGGAGGAAGGUGGGGAUGACGUCAAGUCCUCAUGGCCCUUAUGGGUAGGGCUUCACACGUCAUACAAUGGUCGGGACAGAGGGUCGCCAACCCGCGAGGGGGAGCCAAUCUCAGAAACCCGAUCGUAGUCCGGAUCGCAGUCUGCAACUCGACUGCGUGAAGUCGGAAUCGCUAGUAAUCGCGGAUCAGAAUGUCGCGGUGAAUACGUUCCCGGGUCGUGCACUCACCGCCCGUCAA
rnacentral:rRNA from 1 species